ensembl:lncRNA
GGCUCAAUAGAAACUCCAGCUACUUAGAAAUUCUUGGGACAAUAAGGAGCCCUGCGUCUUAGUGUACUUGUAGGUAUGUACGGCAGACCAAAUCAGAGAGGUAGAAGCAAGUCCAUGUAACGCUUUGUAGGUUAGCAGUAAAACCUUGAAAUCAGACCUAGCCUUAUCAGGAAGCUAGUUAAGGGUAGCCAGUAGAGAGGCUGGCACUGGAGCAAUAUGAUCAAAUUUUUGGGCUCUAGUCAAGAUUCUAGCAACCAUAUUUACUGAACUUUAUUUAGUGCUUUAUCUGGGUAGCCGGAGAAUAGAGCAUUUUAAUAGUCUAAUAUAGAAGUGACAAAAGCAUUGAAGUUUCUGGUUUUUGCAAUGUUAAGAAGAUGGAUAAAAGCUGCCCUUGAAAUAUUCUUGCUAUGUUCGUCAAAAGAGAGAUAAGGGUCCAGAGUAACGCUGAGGUCCUUCACAGUCUAAUUUGAGAUGACUGUACAACCAUUAAGAUUAAUUGUCAGAUCAAACAGCAGAUCUCUUUGUUUCUUGGGACCUAGAACAAGCAUCUCUGUUUGGUCCGAGUUUAAAAGUCAAACAUUUACCGCCAUCCACUUCCUUAUGUCUGAAACAGUCUUCCAGGUAGGGCAAUUUUGGGGCAAGAACUUGUCCGUGGAGACCAAUUAGGGUUUUCAAUCUCUCCAAAAGAAUGUGGGGAUCGAUGGUGUCAAAAGCGGCACUAAGGUCUCGGAGCACGAGGACAGAUGCAGAGCCUCGGUCUGAUGCCGUUGAAAAGUAAUUUACUACCUUCACAAGUGCAGUCUCAUGAGGAGGUCUAAAACCAGACGGGAGCGUUUGAUAUACAUUAUUUGUCUUCGGGACGGCAGUGAGUUAGUGCUCAACAGCUUUGUCUAACAGUUUUGAGAGGAAAGGGAGUUUCUAUAUAGGCUGAUAGUUUCUGAGUCAAGGUUUGGCUUUUUCAAGAGAGGCUUUAUUACUGCCACUUUUAGAUUCAAAGAAGACCAUCCUCACUUGGGGAAUACUGCUUUCCAGUUAGCUUUGCGGCAGUAUCAAAAAUACAUUUUGUAUUGUUUUUAUUCUCCUCAUUCAGGUUGAAAAAGUAGGCUGAUCGAGCAGCAGUUGAGGGCUCCUCGACAUUGCACAGUACUGUCUUUCCAAUAACCAGUGUACAGUAUCAGUUCUCUAUGUUUGAAAAGCACUAUGAAGCUGUGGCUUGGAGUAUUGCUUCUCCAUCCCAUAAAACUCCAUCGCUUACUAGGCAUCAAUUAGCUAACAUAAUUUAUUUGUUUAUUGGGAAGUUUAAUUAACAAGUUAGACACUCAUCAUACAACUUUGUAAUUUGGUUUCCAUUUACAACAAAUGUUUCUUCUUCCACAGACUUUCUGGUCUUGGAACUCCUGUGUUCAACAGAAACGACUUCUGGUAAACUGUUUGCCACUAGUGGCAAUAAAUAUUGUUGCCACAGGUUUGCCACAGAUUGAAAUAGAAGAAUCUCGAGAUAAUUUUUUUCCAGAAAAAAACUCUGGUGAACUGUUUGCUGCUACUACAUAUGAUUGUUGCCGCAGAUGCACCACUAGUGGCAAACAUUUGCAAACCUCUGGCGACAUUUUUUGGCACACUAUUUAGUUUGCAGCAAAUUUGCCACAACCUUAAUUAAGGGACGUUUGCAGCAACACAUUCCUUUUUUUGUAAGGGAAACACACCAAGAAAAGACAUUGACAGCUCUUGUCUUUGGUAAAUGUUUCGUGUCUUUAUCCAUUAUUAAAAGAGAUGCGAAUACAAAAGUGAUUGUAAAAUGGUUAUUGAUGUAGGGGCUGUUAUUUUUUGUACCAUAAGUCUUGGACAUAUGGCAAUGCAUUCUGUUACAUCAUUAGAAGUGCAGCUGCACACAAUUCCACUGAUCAAGGCUGCAAUAACGCCUUUCAUUCACACAAUCUGACAAGCUUUCAAACGAACAUUGAUUGAGUAUAGCAUAUUUAAUUAAUGAACUGAGCAUGUGAAAGCGUCCAAGGACUUUGAAUGAAGAAAGGAAAAAUUGCCCUUUUGUCCAUUGACCAUUUUCCUUUGAAUGUUUUCUUUUUUUAAUUGAAAUAAAAGGUUUGAUGUAUAAGUACAGAAUUCUAAAGCCUGUCUCACAAAAGCAAUGUUUCAACAUUUUAUUUUAUUUCAGUGAUUUGCAUUUAGCAUUUUAGUAUCUCCAAGGUUGACCUCUUGGUAUUUUAAUUACUAGUAUUCCUGAACUGAAGUUUCUUAACAACUUUUACAGUGGCUUAUUGUGGGCCAUUCUAUCAAAGCUGAGGAUGAUUGCUACUGCGUAGUCAUGGGGACACUAGACCUACAGUUUCUGUUUUUUUUAACACGUCACAGCCAAGCAUGCCGCAGUCACCCGGGUCAAAAUUUGCGAGUGAGGCAUCCUGGUCUGUGCUGUGAUGUGUGACAACGACAUAGAGGACUUGGACCUGACUAAAUCGAUGAACUGAUGGUUGUUUAUUGUACCGCCACGUCUAGGUGUAACAAAAACAACUAAUGAGACAACGCUCUUGGAGAGAGACCAAACCUUCUACUGUAAUGACCUCAUCAGACGCAAGCUACCUUUUGAUGCUUCGUCGGGAAGAGAGAGCCUCUCCAAGAGCAUGUUAGCAUGACCAAACCUUCUACUGUAAUGACCUCAUCAGACGCAAGCUACCUUUUGAUGCCUCGUCGGGAAGAGAGAGCCUCUCCAAGAUGUUUGAAGAGCCUGCCUUUGUAAUAAUGAUUUAUAAUUAUCUUGGUCUGAAUCAAAAAUUGGUGAGAGGAGAAAAAAAAAUGUUUUUUUUUUUUUUAAAUAAAAAAGUAAACUGCGCCUUGAGGGUCCAUCUUAAGGAGAGUCUUUCAUAAGAUCACCCAAGAGCAGAGCAUGUGAUUAUGGCACAGUUCCUCUGUAACCUUAAAAGAAUAAAUGUCAAAUCAAAG